ensembl:lncRNA
CACGGGUGCAGGGUGUUUUAUCAUGGGUGCAGGGUGCAAGGUGUUCUAUCACGGGUGCAGGGUGUUUUAUCACGGGUACAAGGUGUUCUAUCACGGUUGCAGGGUGCAGGGUGUUCUAUCAUGGGUGCAGGGUGUUCUAUCACGGGUGCAGGGUGCAGGGUGUUUUAUCACGGGUGCAGGGUGUUCUAUCAUGGGUGCAGGGUGCAGGGUGUUUUAUCACGGGUACAAGGUGUUCUAUCACGGUUGCAGGGUGCAGGGUGUUCUAUCAUGGGUGCAGGGUGUUUUAUCACGGGUACAGGGUGUUCUAUCACGGGUGCAGGGUGCAGGGUGUUUUAUCACGGGUGCAGGGUGUUCUAUCAUGGGUGCAGGGUGCAGGGUGUUUUAUCACGGGUACAGGGUGUUCUAUCACGGGUACAAGGUUUUCUAUCAUGGGUGCAGGGUGUUCUAUCACGGGUACAAGGUGUUCUAUCACGGGUACAAGGUGUUCUAUCACGGGUACAGGGUGUUCUAUCAUGGGUGCAGGGUGCA